rnacentral:rRNA from 1 species
CGCCGCCUGUUUAUCACAAACAUAUACCGGUGGUGGUCGCGUGUUCAGAUUCUUGCAACGUCCUCAUGGUAUGACUCAUGGAGGUCCACCGAUGACCAGUUAGGCUCGCCCGUGCAUCAAAAACACGUCCCUUGAGUUUAAUUUAAAGUUUAAUUUCCAUUCGUUAUCUCUUUAAAGGGCUGCAGAAAUUAGGCUGUACAAAGGUAGCAUAAUCCUUAGUCUUAUAAUUGAAGACCUGUAUGAAAGAUUUGAUGAAAUAUAGUCUGUCUAUAAUUGAUAGUUAAAAUUUAAUUUUUUAGUCAAAAAGCUAAAAUAAAUUUAAAAGGUGAGAAGACCGUAUAGAGUUGCAUAAUUUAUUAUUCUAGAUAUAUUUAUAAAAUUCUAAUAUUUAAACUAACAAAUAACGUCACGGGGGUGAAAAAAAGGCCAGGAAAACCGUAGUGAAACGGCCCAAAGCGAAGAGAAGGAACGAGAUCAAAAAACGCGUCCUCGUGUUUCGA